rnacentral:SRP_RNA from 1 species
GCUGGGCAUGGUGGUGCGUGCCUGUAGUCCCAGCUACUCGGGAGGCUGAGGCUGGAGGAUCUCUUGAGUCCAGGAGUUCUGGGCUGUAGUGCUCUAUGCUGAUUGGGUGUCCGCACUAAGUUCAGCAUCAAUAUGGUGACCUCCAGGGAGUGGGGGACCACCAGGUUGCCUAAGGAGGGGUGAACUGGCCCAGGUGGGAAACGGAGCAAGUCAAAACUCCCAUGCUGAUCAGUAAUGGGAUUGCGCCUGUGACUAGCCACUGCACUCCAGCCUGGGCAACAUAUCGAGACCCCAUCUCCU